UGAAAAGUGAAAAGUAAGAAGAUUAUAAGUGGUGGGGUAUAGUCCAAAAAUAGGUAGGAAGUUCUUUUGUGGACGUCCCAAAAAAGAAAGAUAUGAAGUUCUUUCGUGGACGGAGGGAGUAUGAUAUUAUAAAAAAUUAAAAAAAUAAAAGAAAAAAAUGAAAAUAAAAUAAAAUUGAAAAAUAAAUUUAUUAAAAAAGAAGAAGAUAGAUGACGGAUAAUUUUCUUAAAUUUUAAUCCUUACAUAAAUAAAAGUUUUUACAUCUUAAAUCCAAUAUUAACAUUUACUCCCUCCGUCACCUAUCUUGACUCUUGAGACUGUUUCUAUUUGGAGCGUCCCACCUAUCUUAAGAC
rnacentral:lncRNA from 1 species